ensembl:lncRNA
UAGAGGAGUUGUGUGAUAAGCUGAAAGAUGCUCAAUUUCGAAAGAAGAUGAUUCGUUAUCUGUGUCUUCAGAGUGGAGGGAGCUUGGGAGAAGGAAUUAGGAGGAUGCUGAAAAAAUUGGAGAUAAUUCCUUAUGGGGAUAUUACAGUUACAAAGGGAGAAAGGGAAAACUUAAAUUUCAGCAGCUCCUCAUCAAUGAUGUCUUCAUACUGAACUGCACUGGUCAGCAGAAGGUUGCUGGAUCAAUCUCCGCAGUCGUCUCCACCGGUGUGUCUUUACUCCAGGUGACUCCAGAGGAUUGAGGUCCCUUUAAUAAGAGCACUGUUUUACCUUUUUUCCACAAAUGCUGCAGUCACCUGAUCCGCCACAAAAGAUCUGCAGCAAAUGCACAGGAAUCAAGAAUCAGAAAAGUGCUGUAAUAACUCUUUGA